rnacentral:rRNA from 1 species
GUGCCAGCAGCCGCGGUAAAACGUAGGUGGCGAGCGUUAUCCGGAUUCAUUGGGCGUAAAGAGCUUGUAGGUGGUUCUGUAAGUUGGACGUGAAAACUCCGGGCUUAACUUGGAGAGGCCGUUCAAUACUGCAGGGCUAGAGGAUGUCAGAGGGGAGUGGAAUUCCUGGUGUAGCAGUGAAAUGCGUAGAUAUCAGGAGGAACACCCGUGGCGAAGGCGGCUCCCUGGGGCAUCCCUGACACUGAGAAGCGAAAGCUAGGGGAGCAAACGGGAUUAGAAACCCGCGUAGUCC